rnacentral:rRNA from 1 species
AGUGAACGCUGGCGGCAUGCCUAAUACAUGCAAGUCGAGCGAACAGACAGUGAGCGUUCGCCUUUAACGGUGGCGGCUGACGGGUGGGUGAGACGUACAUAAGCAUCCUAUUUUACGUGGGGGAUUUCGUGGAGCAGCAUCUGAUACUACCGAAUACUUCCUACGGCAGAAUUCGAGAGUUAUACGGAGCUUUGCUGUCUGUUUUAGAUGGAGCGGUGCCGGAUUAGCUAGUGGGUAAGGUAACGGCUCACCAAGGCAACGAUCCGUAGCCGAGCUGAGAGGGUGAUCAGCCACACUGGAACUGAGACACGGUCCAGACUCCUACGGGAGGCAGCAGUAGGGAAUAUUGCGCAAAGGGCGAAAGCCUGAUCGAGCCACGCCGCGUGAGUGAUGAAGGUCUUCGGAUCGUAAAACUCUGUUAUUAGGGAAGAAAAACAGCGUAAGAAAACGCGCCCGUUCUGACGGUACCUAAUCAGUAAGCAACGGCUAACUACGUG